rnacentral:rRNA from 1 species
AUUGAACGCUGGCGGCAUGCUUUACACAUGCAAGUCGAACGGUAACAGGCCGCAAGGUGCUGACGAGUGGCGAACGGGUGAGUAAUGCAUCGGAACGUGCCCAGUCGUGGGGGAUAACGCAGCGAAAGCUGCGCUAAUACCGCAUACGAUCUAUGGAUGAAAGCGGGGGACCGUAAGGCCUCGCGCGAUUGGAGCGGCCGAUGUCAGAUUAGGUAGUUGGUGGGGUAAAGGCCUACCAAGCCAACGAUCUGUAGCUGGUCUGAGAGGACGACCAGCCACACUGGGACUGAGACACGGCCCAGACUCCUACGGGAGGCAGCAGUGGGGAAUUUUGGACAAUGGGCGCAAGCCUGAUCCAGCAAUGCCGCGUGCAGGAAGAAGGCCUUCGGGUUGUAAAGCCCUUUAGUUUGGGAAGAAGACAUAGAGAGGAUAAUGCUUUAUGUUUGACGGUACCAAAAGAAUAAGCACCGGCAAACUCUGUGCCAGCCGCCGCGGUAACAC